GAAAUAGGUAUUCGUUGGGCCUCACAGGCAGAGGCCUAAUAACCUCAUUUCCCCAAAGCAAAGGGAGGUGUGAUUACCGCUUGGAAGUGUAACAAUGAAUCUGAGUGGGACUAAGAGCCCAAUGCAUAAGACAUAAAAGGGAUCAAUAAGGCUAUGAACAUAACCUAGCCUCAUUCAUGAUCCUGCGUAUCCUUACUCUUCCAUUUCCCAACAUCACACUAGAGUAUUCAAUAGCUCCACCACGCUGAAGCUCUAUACCGGCAGCGACAGAGCACGUGAGGAUUAAACCGUAUACCACUCCACUUUCCUCGCCUCACUUAAACCGAAUCCAAAUACGACUCCGCCUAAUUCCUACUAUAACUCACAGAUUGAAUCCAAAUGAAAACAAAAAUGAAAACUAGGCAAAUACGAAUCAAGGGAAGUGUUCUUACCGUGACGACUGAAGAAACUCAGGACUUCAAAGCAUACUUUAAUAUGGUCCAGUCAAGUCGACUUUAGUUAUGGUGAACAUCAAGUUCAAUUCGGGUCCAGUUCUACUUUGGGGUCACUUAUUGGGUUUGGCUUAUGCAUUCUGCAGAUGAGUAUCCAAUGGAGCAUUGUGGUUUGUAGUCUUGGCCUGAACUGAUAUAACAAGUCUUACUAACAUGCUCUGAUGCUGAAUGUUUGCAGAUCACAUUUUAAUAGCGUGGCCUCAUUUUUGACUUGCCUCAAGUUUUGUUCCUAGUUUUUUAUGAAGUGAUUCACCUGGGUUGCGUCGCACUGCGAGUAAAAAUCCUUGGUCCCGACCUUGGUUCAUUAUUGUUUUAGUUAGUUCAUGUACUUAUGAAGUGAUUUGGUAUGCUAAUGUGAUGCUUAGUGGUUUCUUGUGAGGGUCAGAAGUUACAUAUUUUUUUAUUGGAGGUUGAUUGUAAUCGAUUAGCCUUUUUUAGAGGGAGAUUCUAGGUAUUGAAGAAUUAUUACAGUUCGUUUUUUUGGUUUGCAGUUUCUAUUGGGAGUUUAGAGUAGUUGGAAGUGGUUGAAGUAUGUUACCAUUCAGUUCUGAAGGUAGGUGGAUUUUGAAUCGGUUAGAGUUUGUUAUGAGGUUUAUGAGAAAGUUAGUUAACGUGAGUUAAUAGUGUUGGCUGAUGCUUGAAUUGUUAGUUUAACUUGGGUUUCAAUGAAAAAAAAGCUAAAUUAUAGCUUAAUUGUCCUGCUGAAGUGGUUUGCUCGGUCUGCCCUUUACCUUGAUGCUCUACCAUGUACAUGCCACUUGUUUUGGUAGUUGGCAAUUGUAGGAGAUAGGGUACAGGGAACUCCAGUUUUGACCAGUUGACUUUCUCUGGUCAACCACCAUGAACCAUCUUUCUAUCUUAACAUUCCCUUGAUUUUUGGGAUUCAUGGAGGAUCAUAUAUGUGUAAGAUGAUGUAAUAUGAAGUAUAACUUGAAAUAUUUGAUCAA